CUUAGCCUGUGUGAAACUCAAGGCUCUUCUUCAGCCUGGCGCCCGGGGCGGGGUUUGGGCUGUGGCUGCGGGUUUUCCUGGAGAUGGACCUCAGCGCUCGGGGCUGCUCGGCAUCCGGCCCCGCAGGGGCUCUCAGCAGGGAACAAAGUUCAUCAUCCUGAGACACCAGACCUUUGACGAAGCGCAGGUUACCUGUGACAGUGCGUGCGGCGCUAACAAAGAGUCCCUGUCAGCCUUUGUAGAAGACUUUGAGGCUUCAGUCAGCGUUGACUUUCCAGAAGAUGAGGAGCGUGUUGGUGAAGUGCUAGACUGUGGUUCCUCGGAUCCCUCAGUUCGUGGGGGAACAGAAGAAGCUCAGUGUGGAGAUGAAAAGAUGACAGAAGCAGCAGAAUCCCAGAAGUUGCGAUCACACAGGCAGAUGAGGGUAUUGCUGUUUGCCCCUCUGCCUUGCCCUGUGCUGGUCAGCACCAGCUUCACUCCCCCUGCUUGGGAGGUGGCAUCUGGGCACGCUGUCCCUGGGCAGCCAGGCCUGCUGGCCUCCGGCAUUGGUGGGACUGCUCUCUGCCACCCGAGGGAGGGCAUCAGCGUGCGGGAGGUCUGCAGGUUGGUACCCAGUUCUGAGCCCACAGGAAUGCAGCGACCUUUCUGCACACUCAGAAUGGAGCAGAAACAUCUGUAAGCCAUGACUGCACCUGCCUACGUGAUGCUGAGAUGGGGUCCUCCAGCCAGCUCAGGCCUUUCCUGGUCUUUUUUCUAUGUUCUGCUGAAUCCUGAUCAACCCGAAUGCUGCCUGUUGGCACUGGGAUAGGGAGAGCCACCCAUGCAGACCCAGAUGCUGUAGCCUCACUUUUCUAAGACGGCACUCGACUGGGCAGUGAAGCACGGCAAUCUUGAGAUGGCAGAGAUGGUCGCCAAAGCAGGCGUCGAUGUCAAUGCUAAAUCGCCUGAGCUGAAGCUGGAAUAUCACACCUAUAUUUCUCUGUAUCAUAAUUCAGUAAGUUAAUAAAAGGGUCAGCUCCUCCUAAAGAUACAGAAAACACAGGAGAAAGCACAGAAUUUGCUGAGAGUCCUGGUAGGUUGAAAGACACUCACUUCUGUAAAUGUCAGCUUUGUAACUCUGGUUAAAACUUCAUAUUCUGCUUUCUGAUUGUGUGGAUGGACCAACCCUCUCUAUUUAUAUUUUGUUCCAGUUAAAUAAGUAUUGCCCCCUCUUGUAUAGGCUGUGCAUUUCAUCUUUGAAGUUAGUAGCCACUUUUUUUGUCAAGCACUUUCAUUGUUUAGACGUGCUUCCCAGUUCCAGCCUCAUUUUAUCACCGCAAAUUUCCUCUCUUGCAUAUUCUUCCCUCUAGGUCAUUGAUAGUGAAAGCAAGCAAUAUGUUUCCUGGUGUUCAACCAUGUGGCACUUCACUAGUCACAUAAUACACUAGAUAAGCAGAUGACAGUCUGUGCUGCUCUGAAUAGCAUAUGUGCAUGCCAGCUGAAAGCCAGGAGUCGGAGGACAUACAGGCAGCCAACAGAGGGAGUCAAUGGCAGCAAAGCACUGGCCAUACAACCAGCACUUUGGAGAACAGAAAAAUGGACAGUUUUGCACUUAUGUUCUAAGAGUAGAAGCCCUCAGUUUCCCCAUUAGGCCCCAGGCAUCUCUGACAGCCCAUGUGCUCUUCUGCUUCAGACUGCCAGUUGCUACCUCGGAGAAGCUUCAUUCCAGCUCUGUACCCACCAGAAUUUCAGUUGUUUGGGGCAAAGUUUGACCCUUCUUACAUUUG
ensembl:lncRNA